rnacentral:rRNA from 1 species
UACGGGGGGGGCAAGCGUUGUUCGGAAUUACUGGGCGUAAAGGGCGCGUAGGCGGCCUGCUAAGUCACACGUGAAAUCCCUCGGCUCAACCGGGGAACUGCGUGUGAUACUGGCGGGCUUGAAUUCGGGAGAGGGAUGUGGAAUUCCAGGUGUAGCGGUGAAAUGCGUAGAUAUCAUCAGGAACACCGGUGGCGAAGGCGGCUUCUGGGUCUUACCUGACGCUGAGGAACGAAAGCUAGGGGAGCGAACGGG